ACAUUCAGAAAUGUGACCAUGUAGUUUUCUCUGGAGUAGAGAAAAUGCCUUGGACACUACCCAGUGAAAUUUAUGUAGGGAUGUGAUGUUAGAGAACUAGAGAAACUGGGUCUCCCUAAGUACCACUAUUUCUAACCCAGACCUAAUCACCUGUCUCGGGUAAGGGAAAAGUCCCUAAAAUGUGAAGAAACGUGAGAUAGUAGCCAAAAUCCAUGCUGGAGAGAAACCUUUCAAAUGUAAUAAGUGUGGCAAAGUCUCCAACAGGGGCUUAUAUAUUACUCAACAUCAAAUACUCUCUCCUGGAAAAAAAAAACUUUCAAAUGUGAAAAAUUUGGCAAAUAUUUAACUGAGGCUUACAACUUUCUCAACAUUAGAGUGCCUAUUUUGCAGAGAAACUUUUCCAAUGUAAAUAAUGUGGGAAAGCUUUUAACUGAGAAUUAAAAUUUACUCAGCAUCAGAGAAUACAUGCUGGAGAAGAAUCUUUAAAGAAUGUGACAAAACCUUUAAAAGGUAUGCACACUUUACAUGAGAUAAUUCAUACCGGUGAGAAAUAUUUCAAAUGUAAAGAAUGUGAGAAGUUUUCAAAAAAUGCUCAACCCUUAUCCAAUAUCAAAGAAUACAUAUCAAAUAGAACACAGCAAGUGUAAAGAAUUUAACAACACUCUCAACUGGUGCUUACACCUUUCUCAGCAUUAGAGAAUCAAUACUGGAUAGAAAUCCCAU
rnacentral:lncRNA from 10 species